rnacentral:rRNA from 1 species
GACGUAGGUGGCAAGCGCUAUCCGGAAUUAUUGGGCGUAAAGGGCGUGUAGGUGGUAAAUCAAGUCAGAGGUUAAAUUACUGGGCUCAACCCAGAUACUGCUUUUGAAACUGGUUUACUAGAGUUUGGGAGAAGAAGGUGGAAUUAUCAGAGUAGCGGUGGAAUGCGUAGAUACUGAUAGGAAGGCCAGAGACGAAGGUAGCCUUCUGGAACAACACUGACACUGAGGCGCGAAAGCUAGGGGAGCAAACAGG